CCACAAUUUAUGAACCUCUCGCGGAGCACGCGCGUACGCCACGAGAUCACUCUCACGG
rnacentral:rRNA from 1 species